rnacentral:rRNA from 1 species
CACGUAGGCGGAUCGAUCAGUCAGGGGUGAAAUCCCAGGGCUCAACCCUGGAACUGCCUUUGAUACUGUCGAUCUGGAGUAUGGAAGAGGUGAGUGGAAUUCCGAGUGUAGAGGUGAAAUUCGUAGAUAUUCGGAGGAACACCAGUGGCGAAGGCGGCUCACUGGUCCAUUACUGACGCUGAGGUGCGAAAGCGUGGGGAGCAAACAGGAUUAGAUACCCCCGUA